rfam:Myotis davidii contig220092, whole genome shotgun sequence.
GGCAGUUUUUGGGUGAUGCACCCAGGAAUUGGGCUCCCUCCAUUCUGGUUCUAGGUGUGUCACCUGAGAACCACA